rnacentral:tRNA from 2 species
GCCGAAGUGGUGGAAUUGGCAGACGCAACGGACUCAAAAUCCGUCGUUGGUAACAACGUGCGGGUUCAAGUCCCGCCUUCGGCACCA